rnacentral:rRNA from 1 species
GACAUAGUAAAAUAACAUUUUAUUUAUCUGCCCAAUGACGACUGUUAUAUGGCUUUAAAGUAGCAUAAUAAUUAGUUUAUUAAUUGUAAACUGGCAUGAAGACAGCAUUUUUGAAUGAUUUUUAAUCUUGACUUGUGAAUUUGAAAUGUUAGUUAAAAUGCUAACACAAACCUCAAAGACGAUAAGACCCUAAGAUCUUUACUAACUUUGGCUGGGAUAGCCUAUAAAUAAUAAUAAUUUAAGUUCACUCCUGUCCAACCAAUUUUUUUGCUUUAUAUAGAUACCUUAGGGAUAACAGCGCGAAAUGUUUUUAAAGCCCAUAUUAAAAUUACAUUAGUGACCUCGAUGUUGAAUUAAGUUUACCUAAGCCGCAGAAGGUUUGGGUGCAGGUCUGUUCGACCUCAAGAACUUACAUGAUUUGAGUUAAGAUCGACGUAAGCCA